rnacentral:tRNA from 1 species
CAGGCUAGUAUUUAGUAAUAAUUUUCAUUUACACUGAAGGGUAUGUCGUGCGAUUCGAUGUGGUCUGA